AUUGAACGCUGGCGGCAGGCCUAACACAUGCAAGUCGAACGGUAACAGGAAACAGCUUGCUGUUUCGCUGACGAGUGGCGGACGGGUGAGUACUGUCUGGGAAACUGCCUGAUGGAGGGGGAUAACUACUGGAAACGGUAGCUAAUACCGCAUAACGUCGCAAGACCAAAGAGGGGGCCCUUCGGGCCUCUUGCCAUCGGAUGUGCCCAGAUGGGAUUAGCUAGUAGGUGGGGUAACGGCUCACCUAGGCGACGAUCCCUAGCUGGUCUGAGAGGAUGACCAGCCACACUGGAACUGAGACACGGUCCAGACUCCUACGGGAGGCAGCAGUGGGGAAUAUUGCACAAUGGGCGCAAGCCUGAUGCAGCCAUGCCGCGUGUAUGAAGAAGGCCUUCGGGUUGUAAAGUACUUUCAGCGGGGAGGAAGGGAGUAAAGUUAAUACCUUGGCUCAUUGACGUUACCCGCAGAAGAAGCACCGGCUAACUCCGUG
rnacentral:rRNA from 1 species